CUGCAAAGUGACAUCAUUCUUUGGAUGAAGAUGGAUGAUGUCCAAGAAAUUGAACAAAGGUCCCAACCACAAAUUUUCUGGACACAAGAAAUGUCUGCAUGUGCUUUGAAAUACUUGGCCCAGUUGGUUGCUGAUGGAAUUCGAGUAGACAAAGGUUUCAAAAGCUCGCACUAUAAUCAAUGUGCUAAAGUGGUAAAGGAAAGAUUUCAGGUUCAAGUUUCUGGUUCUCAAGUUACCAAUCAUCUUAAGACAUGGGGAACUCGCUGGUCAAACAUCUGCAAUUAUAAGAAGAUUAGCUCAGCCCAUUUUGAUGAGCAAACUGGAACAAUAUUACUUGAUGAGAAGAACUACUUGGAACGGGUGCAGAAAAAACCAUCUGAAGCUAAAUUUUUCAACAAGCCACUUGAGAACUACCAUUACAUGGCUGUCAUAUUUGGGAAUCAGCAAGCAACUAGACUGUUUGCAAAAUGCACCGGUGAUCCCCUAGGUUUCGACACAUCUGAAAGUGCAGAUACAUAUGGUGUGGGUUAUUCUGGAGACUUGGCUGGUCAUGAGAGUAACAAUGCAAGUCCGACUCGUGAUAGUGGAGAAUCAUUGAACCCAAGUGGUCAAGUUCGUGAUGGUGGAGGCUCAUCUACUCGAAGUGGUGCAAGAAGGAAGAGAGGGCGCAUGAUGUUGGAAGAUGAGGAUCCAUUGAUAUGCACUGUCACUGAAGCUUUUAAGACUCUUUCAGAUGCAAUCAAGCAGUCAGCACCACAACCACGUCCGGUAAUCCCACCCAACCUAUGGACUGUGAUGAAAGAAAUUCCUGUCUUUCAAAGAGAGCAUAUAGCACACUAUUAUGGCUACUUGUGUGAGAAUCCAGUCCUUGCUUAUGCCUUUCUAGAGAUGGGACUAGAUGAUCAGAUGGUAUGAGUCUCUAGGUACAUCAAGACUCAUCUUUCUGAUUGAUGCAUCAAAGAAGCAGAUUAGCCUAAAACUUGUAUCUGAAACGUCUCAGUAUUUCUAUGAUGGAUGGAGUCUCUGAAACUUAUCUUUGAACAUUGAUAUGCAUGUUAGAUAACUUCUCAG
rnacentral:misc_RNA from 1 species